rnacentral:rRNA from 1 species
AAGGGCACCACAAGAACGCGUGGAGCAUGUGGCUUAAUUUGACUCAACGCGGGAAAUCUUACCGGGUCCGGACACAUUGAGGAUUGACAGGCGCAAAAUGGCUGCUUUCACGAGCAGCUAUUUCUAAAUAUGCUAGUCCUUUCAUGAUUGUGUGAUAGGUGGUGCAUGGCCGUUCUUAGUUCGUGGAGUGAUCUGUCUGCUUAAUUGCGUUUCAGAAAAUAGGUUCUUAGAGGUUAAUGCAUUGCGCUUUGCAACACAAUUGCUUUUUGCUUUUGUGUUGUAACGCCCAUGCAGCCCUUGAAACCUUGAAGGCAACGAACGUGAUCGCAACCUCUUGUUGCCUUUCUUUCGUCUUUUUGGCGAACUGUUGCCUCGUGAUUGUUCCAAUUUUCCUUUUUUGGCGGCCCCGAUCUGGUAUUGCGUUGGUUGGUUUCGCGUGUUUGCGCGUGCUGCCAGCGUGUGCGGGGUUGGGUUUAGCCAUUUGGGCAAACAUUGGAUGUCAUGGGGAUUUAAUAGAGCGAAGUGCAAACUAGAGGGACCGCCGCAUUUUUUUAAAACGGAGGAAGGUUGCGGCAAUAACAGGUCUGUGAUGCCCUUAGAUGUUCCGGGCUGCACACGUGCUACAAUGAUUGUUGCAGUGAGCAUCUUGAAAAGUUCGCAGCGCUGCAUAUGCGGUGCUGCGACACUACCUACUUCGAAAGUAAGUAGGCAAUCAAUUCGAAGUAACGAUUUCCUUUGCACAGUUAACAAAUCUUGCGUACGAGUGCAAAGUCAGCUGCCAAUCUUCGGGUUGGCGGGCGUUUGCACUUGCGCAGGAUGUGCUUCCAUUUAAAUUCAUGGUGGGGACAGACCAUUGCAAUUGUUGGUCUCGGUCUUAACUAGGAAUGCCUUGUACGGGUCAUGGUUCAACAGACCACCCGGAAUAUGUCCCUGCCCUUUGUACACACCGCCCGUCGCUCUUACCGAUGGACUUCUCUGUGAGUUUGAGGGACUGGCUUUCGCAGCUAUGGAAACUCAAACGAACAGUGUGGUCUAAAGGAAAGAGAAGU